ACCCUCCUGGGAUUGCACUGCAGAGUUUCCAGUACUCUACCAGUCUCGGCAAGGAGGGAGAGACAAGCAGAGGCCUAACCAUUCCAUUCCUAGCUUGGCCAGUGGCUAGUGAGCGGAAGGCAAUCUGCUACAAGU